GUAUGGUGUGUGGUUAGCAUUUCAUUAGUGUGCACUUGCACAAGAUUGUAAACCUAAGCAAAAGUUCAUUCAAAACCUCAUUCAAAAGUUCAAAUCAUCUGCAAAGGAAUUACAAAGCAAUUUUAAAGCAAAUCCUUUCUCUACUUGAGUGACAGCUAGACAUCAACAACAAACAAGUCCUCGACAAUCACAGACUUUUCUAGUCAAAAAAAAAAAAGAGAUGAACCCCAGCUAUGUUUGUGUGCACGCGUGACCGAAGACGGCAACAAAGAGAAAGUGAUCAUAUGCGUCUGAGUAUUAGACGAGCAUGUUUGCAAAGCAGUCACCGUCAGACAAUGUCUUUUGCUUUUCAACAACUGCUGAGUCAUCAUCUAAAAAUAACCCUGAGAGGAGAGAUGAGGAGUCAGACAGUUAGUAAAUAACUGACAGAUCACUUCUAUAGUCCCUGAAAAGUGGCACUGAAAUCACUAGGCCAUGUACAGAGGGGGGGAGAGAAUACUGCAGUGUGUAAGUAAUUACACAGUGACAGACGAGCACAGAGGUUAUGUGAGAACACAGGAGCAGCAGACAGUUAACAUGACACAACAGGUCAUGAACUGCAACUACAUCCCAGUUGCCACAACAGAGUCCUCCCUAUCAUUAUAAUGUUAAUUGCUCUGCAGUUAGUAAACAAGCAUGUACUCAUUUAUUCUCCAAGUUUCAGAUUCUCCAGCAGACAACCUCUGAUCUCUAGGCUUUAUGAGCAAGCUAAAAAGCUACAGCACACAAACUGGUUCCUUACCCUUCUCUGAAGGUAAACAGCAUUCAUCUCAUCUCCUAUGGUUCUCAGCUGGACUGCCACUCUGCCCACCACUUGUUCCUCCUCCACAGACUCCUCUUCAGCCACAGAGCCUCGGCGGCUUGACUGAGCCGAGGAACUACUGCUCUCUGUUAGAUGAUUGGGCAAGAGCUGAGGCAUCCUGCUGGGACAAGACCUCUCCUGCUCCGUCCCUGAAGGAUAAACAGAAAAGAAAUUAUCACUGUCAGAGAGUUCCAUCUUAUUCCAUAAAGACCAGGGAGACUUUGUAAAUAUGAACAAGGCUCCUCAUUCUUUUGGGCUUCUGAACGAACAUCGGCAUACCAUACAGAUGUUCCAUCUGUCUCUAACGCAAAACAUUUCUCCAAUGGAAAGACAUUAUUUCUACAGGACACUAACAGGACUUUGCUGACCCAAGUAAACAUCCACAGCUUCAACAAUCAACCUCUCAAACCUUCAUAAAUCUUCCCCCUAGUAAAACAAUUUCAACACUCACAUCAUGAUCUGUGUAUAAUCUAAUAAUCUGCUUAAAGUGCUCAAGUUUAGAAGUCAAGUGAGUCUUUAAUUUAACCAUGCAUUCUUAAUUGAAUGACGUCUUGAUUUAAAUGUUCUUUACUUUCUUUAUUAGCAUGCACAAAUAGCUCCACAUGACGUGGAAAUGCAUGUGUGUGGGGCUGAGUUCUGCUAAUCCUUCAAGCAGGUGACUGAACAGAGCGAGUAACACUGGGAGAACAGUGGUGUUCUGGCUUGUUGCCAGGGUAACUGUAAGCCCAUGCAGCCUGAGAUGAAAUGCAGUCAUUGGUGGACAGGAACAAGGGCCGGGCUGUGAUUGGAUGGACAGUGUGUGUGUGUGUGUGUGUUAGGGGGGCAGGCCAAAAGCCUGCAGCUUUUAUAAAGGAGGUGCCAAAAAAAACAGCACCGAAGGGUUCAGCUGAGGCUACAAAAGCAAUGACGAUCUGUGGAAAUUUUGGGAAGAUUUAGUAAAUAAUGAGUGUCUGACCAAAACAACGCAAGACCACUGCUCAGUGCGGCAUGAGCAUUCUGAUACUGUAUGUUGAGUUGUGCUCAGCAGGAAGCCACGGGACAAGUUGCAACAUGUCCUUUUUUCUAAUGCAAGACCACAGAGGGGCAAAAACCACUUGAACAUGAACUAUGGUCAUUGUCACAAACACCUGAAAUGCUUUUUUUCUGCAUUUUAUUAAGACUUGGGGGUCAAACAUGGUCAAGCAUGCUGUAAAGCAUACUGUAGUCACACUGCUGGUGAAGUUUACAGAAUAAAGGUUAAAAAAUA